GCUUUCUUGGAUGCAACGUGGAGCUGCUUUUCAAGCCAGUUUUCUCUUGGCGUGCAAGAGUUCCAGGGAUCUUUUUGGACAACCUGGACUGCAAACACAGCUAUUAUUUAUUGGGAAGCCGGAGGCGUCAUCGCGUCUUGGAGGCUGCGAUUGAUCGCUCGCCGCGUGCCGCCAGCGGUAGGUGGACAGCAGCCGUUUGAUGAGCCGUGCUCUUUGAAGGGAGCGGAACACUUAAGACCCGCCGUUAUCUCCGGUAAUCUCCCACGGCCGCGUAAUGGCCGAGGCGAAUCUAAUCCAAACGGCGGCUCGAUGUCACGGGCAGCCGCCGGCGAGGAGCGCCUUUCCGAGGCCCUUUGGCACAGUCGUCUGGGCCUUAUUAUCCUUGCCAGCAUAUUUCCCAGACUUUGCGAGGAAAGUCCAGCGUUCUCGUCGAUUCCGCUUGUUCCGUUGUUUCUUAGCCCGCAAGUAAUACUCUAAGCGAGGUAUACAUGGGGUAUAAUACUCUGCAACGCCACAAAUCACCAAAGACGACCAAGAGCCCACCAGCCUACUACACACACACACACACACACACACACACACACACACACACACACACACACACACACGAACCACUUGUCCCAUACGGGGUCGCGGGGAGCCGAAGCCUAACCCAGCAACACAGGACGUAAGGCCAGAAGGGGAGGGGACACACCCAGGACGGGACGCCAGUCCGUCGCAUGGCACCCCAAGCGGGACUCGAACCCCAGACCCACCGGAGAGCAGGACCCGGUCCAACCCACCGCGCCACCGCGCCCCCCCCUUACCAGCCUACUAACUGAGGAAAAUCCACUAAACUGACUCACUUUUGAUUCAAGCCUUAUAUUUUUCAGCAGACGGACGACCAAAUGCCAAGUGCUGGUCUGGAAGUCGGUGACAAGGCCCGAGCAAAUCGAGGCCAUGAGCAACCGUUCUGAAAAUGUAGCUGUGAGAUUAACGUGCCGUAAUCUUCAAAGACAAGCAGUCAUGCGUGAGCCAAUCGCUGCGGACCUCAGGGGUGCCUUCCGCAGAAGGAACCGAGCCGAGAUCUGAACCUGCGCGAGGAGCGAGCCGCCGGCGAGAACUUAAGUUCCGCUUCUCAUUUUGACCCGGUCCUGUUUCCAGUGGUUUGGGGCAACUUCAACAAGUAGCAGGAAGUGGAGACUUCCUCCUGUGACUGGACCUGGGAAGCUUCGCCGCGGUAGUCCUGCAGAUACAACUCUGGCUUCAUCUCUUUCGUGCGCAGAGUAAAAGGGUGGAAGUAUAAGGCCUUGGCCUGGAUCGUGCAGAUAUGGAAAUUGCUCAUAUACUGUAUGGAAUUUAAUUGCGAACCCCUGGUUUACGAGCUUUAGAGCUUUUGCUCCACAUGCCCGCUCACAUCGGGUUUUUGGUCGCUCUCCAAGAACUUCCAGGGGUGCUGUGCUAAGUAUCACUCCGCUACCUCCUCGUCUGGAGGCGG
rnacentral:lncRNA from 1 species